rnacentral:rRNA from 1 species
GACGAACGCUGGCGGCGUGCCUAAUACAUGCAAGUCGAGCGGACAGAAGGGAGCUUGCUCCCGGAAGUUAGCGGCGGACGGGUGAGUAACACGUGGGCAACCUACCCUGUAGAUCGGGAUAACAUCGAGAAAUCGGUGAUAAUACCGGAUAAUCAUUUGAAGUGCAUGCUUCGAAUGUAAAAGAUGGCUCCGGCUAUCAAUACGGGAUGGGCCCGCGGCGCAUUAGCUGGUGGUAAGGUAAUGGAUUACCAAGGAAACGAUGCGUAGCCGACCUGAGAGGGUGAUCGGCCACACUGGGACGGAGACACGGCCCAGACUCCCACGGGAGGCAGCAGUAGGGAAUCUUCCGCAAUGGACGAAAGUCUGACGGAGCAACGCCGCGUGAGUGAUGAAGGUUUUCGGAUCGUACAGCUCUGUUGUUAGGGAAGAACAAGUGCCGUUUGAAUAAGGCGGCACCUUGACGGUACCUAACCAGAAAGCCACGGCUAACUACGUGACAGCCGCCGCAGUAACAC